CCUACGGGAGGCAGCAGUGAGGAAUAUUGGUCAAUGGGCUUACGCCUGAACCAGCCAAGUCGCGUGAGGGAAGACUGCCCUAUGGGUUGUAAACCUCUUUUGUCAGGGAGCAACGCCGGCUACGUGUAGCCGGACUGAGAGUACCUGAAGAAAAAGCAUCGGCUAACUCCGUGCCAGCAGCCGCGGUAAUACGUAGGGGGCAAGCGUUAUCCGGAUUUACUGGGUGUAAAGGGAGCGUAGACGGUUGUGCAAGUCUGAAGUGAAAGCCCGCGGCUCAACUGCGGAACGGCUUUGGAAACUGUGUAACUGGAGUGCUGGAGAGGUAAGCGGAAUUCCUGGUGUAGCGGUGAAAUGCGUAGAGAUCAGGAGGAACACCGGCGGCGAAGGCGGCUUACUGGACAGUAACUGACGUUGAGGCUCGAAAGCGUGGGGAGCAAACAGGAUUAGAUACCCCAGUAGUC
rnacentral:rRNA from 1 species